UUUAGUUUUCCCCAAAUAGUGUCGACAACUCACAUUUUGCACACCAUCUCCAAUUCUCCAUCACGCCUGUAUCGACGAUGCUUCAUCAGAAGGACUCAUAGUCGGCUUCCUCUCCGACAAUGAUGGUUGCAUACUGUGUUUAUCAAUCUCCUUAAAACCUAAGUAUCACCAUUGACUACCCUACCUUUUGCAGAUCAAACCAAGUACAACCACAACCCUUAAUCCGAAACCACCAAGCAAAGUCAUCGACACCCGUUAUCAUUUCCACACAGCCAUCGACACCUCCCACUACUAUGAAUUGGGCAUUUAGGGCAAUAUCCUUUGUCCAUCGACAACAACGACCUAACCUCAUGGUGAAUCGAAUCACCGCUCUGAUUAUCUCUAAAAAAACCCUAAUAUACUCGCUAGAAUCGACUCAAUCACCAAUGUUUGAACCAUACGUGACCGUUAUCGAUGCAACCACCAACAACCUCCACCAAGUAAGCCAAUAGUCUGAUAUGGAGUAUAAAAAGUGGUUGAAUAUGGGCAUUCCAACUUCCAGAAAGGUGAAGUAAUUUAGGGAGUAAUUGGAUAAGAGAAAUACGACUUUAUCCGUUCUGUUCAAGAUAUUGAUGUCUCACUUUCAUAUUUUACAUGAAUCCUUUGUAUGUUUACAAAUUAACACGUUUUACUCAAAUUUACACCAUAUUAAUAUUGAAAGUAGCCCAAUUCCGUAUUCUCCCAUUAGUUAUGCCUGGUUAUGACCGCUUUACAUUGUUUUCCAUGAGAUAUGUGCUCUAAAAAAAGCACAGUGCAUCUUUGUGUCAGCAACUUAUGGCGCAGUCAGUCAGCUUGUCGGCCAGUUUGCAAAGCUAACCGGGUGUUAUGUCGUAGGAAUGUGGGGUGUGCCGGAACAAAAGAAAAGGUCGAUGCUUUCAAUAUUUUAGCUUAGUUUGUAUCCAUCAGGUAAUGUAAUACAAGAAAAGAUAAAAGAAAAAAAAAAGUUGGAACACAUAAUCCUUUUGUCUACCUUGAGUGUUUUUUACUACCGUUUAUGUAUUUAAGAAUGAUACUUGACUUUAAUUUCUUAAACUGGAGAGUGUGGGGUGCGGUUUUAGCUAA